rnacentral:lncRNA from 1 species
AAGCAUGUGAAGAGAAAUUGAUGAUUCCAUUGGACAAACUGUUUUGUUCCAAUGGUUUCUUUAAAAACUAGGCCACGAAAAUCAUCUUCAAUAUGGUAUUUCGUGGUUCUUUAAAGUCACCGGAAAACUCUUGGUCAUGAGUUAUUUCGGUGUGUUUAUGUCUUAAACCGGUGGGUAAAUGAAUUGCCCAACGGUCCAUAUUGUUUCAGCCAUUAAAGCACCAAACUCUUGAUGAUUAUUGGAUGCCUUGGUUGUUAAAGCUUCCGCUUAACUCAAGAAAACAGAGCUAAACUCUGUCCAUUUGAACUCUUGAGCAAACUCUCUAUUCUCCAUUCUCCUUUAUUGUCUUUAUACUAUUAUUCUCCUUUAUUUCUGCCCAUUCUAUUCACUUACACUAAUCUCUCACCAUUUUUGUUUGUUUUGGUGUCCAUUAACUCUAAUCUGUUUUGCAAGGAAUCGCUUGUCUCAUAAAGAGAAGGCGAAUGCAUUUGUUAGAGAUUAAUGGAUGGAUAAUCUGGGCACUAUAAGUUUGCGGGAGGGUUAGAACCAUUCACCAUCAGACUUGAAGUCCAUUAGGCGAACAAACCGCACAAGUUCAAGUCUUCUUCAAAUAAAGGCUGUUUCUAAACUCUACUCUCAUUUCAUGAUAUUCUUCAUUAAACCAUUGCCUUAGAAUUCACAGUUUAAUAUAUACAUGAACUCCUAAUUGUUGCUUAAUAGCCUUGAUAUUCCUCAUUUGAUAUUCUCUUUGAUAUUCCUUAUGGCAAAACUUAAUCUUUUCUUCUUUAUCUCUUGUUUAAGGGUGAAGGAGACCAUAAGAGCCUCAAAGAGACCAAUGAGAGCCUCAAGGAAGUAAAAGUUGACAAGGAAAGGAUUCAGAACCAGUCAUGAAGGACUAAGAAAGUGAAGAGUAGAGCCGGUUAUAUUUGAAGCCCAUUUAGACGAUCCAACCAAGUCAAAACUCAAGACAACCCGAAGAAGAAAUCUGGCCAGCGAACUCAAGUGGUUGUUAGAGAGGAAGUGACAUUGGUGGACGAUCAAAUUAGAGAAGAAAUCUGGUGGGAAUGCUGAAUCAAACUCACGCAUUCAAGUGUCAAAGUCAUGGAGCUCAAGUUUGAAUGUGCACAAGACUUCAAAGUCAUUGAUGUACAAGGUUUCAAGGCUCGAAAAGGGUUAAAACCAUCAUGGUUUAACAUGUUCUAAGAAGCGAUCUAGAGACCUCAAGAAGAGAGCUCAAACCGCAACAAAAGUUCAGUUUGGAGUAGCCAUGGAGUCCACGAAGUAGACAACAUGAUUGGUACUCGUUGGAAGUAUCAUGGCGUCUUGGAGUUAGACCUUGAAGAACCCGGGA